CUGAAACACCACAGUAUCUGACUGAAAACCCAAGGCAAAAAGGCCUCCACGAAAAUGUCACUCAUAAUGUGAAGAAACAUGCUCCAUGGCACUUCACAAAUGGAAGCUGCCAAGGAAAGCUAUGCAAGUCAUUGAGAAAGAGACAGGUACCUUUAUCGAUCAGUAACCCGUGCAGCAGAAUCUCCAAGAAGAAAAGACGGC